rnacentral:rRNA from 1 species
AGGGAAAUUCGAGAUAUUUGGAGGAACACCAGUGGCGAAGCUGCUCACUGGCUCGAUACUGACGCUGAGGUACGAAAGUGUGGGGAGCAAACAGGAUUAGAUACCCUGGUAGUCCACACCGUAAACGAUGAAUUGCCAGACGUUCAGCAAGCAUGCUUGUUGGUGUCACACCUAACGGAUUAAGCAUUCCGCCUUGGGAGUACGUCUGCAAGA